rnacentral:rRNA from 1 species
UACAGAGGGGGCAAGCGUUAUUCGGAAUUAUUGGGCGUAAAGGGCGCGUAGGCGGCUUUGCAAGUGGCGGGUGAAAUCCCUCGGCUUAACCGAGGAACUGCCUGCCAGACUGUGAGGCUUGAGACCGGGAGAGGUGAGUGGAAUUCCCAGUGUAGCGGUGAAAUGCGUAGAUAUUGGGAAGAACACCGGUGGCGAAAGCGCUCUACUGGGCCUGAACUGACACUGAGGGACGAAAGCUAGGGGAGCGAAAGGG